rnacentral:rRNA from 1 species
GAUGAACGCUGGCGGCGUGCCUAAUACAUGCAAGUCGAGCGAACGGACGAGAAGUUUGCUGCUCUGAUGUUAGCGGCGGACGGGUGAGUCACAUGUGGAUAACCUACCUAUAAGACUGGUAUAAUUACGGGAAACCGGAGCUAAUACCGGAUGAUAUUUUGAACCGCAUGGUGCAAAAGUGAAAUACGGUCUUGCUGUCACUUAUAGCUGGAUACGAGCUGCAUUAGCUGGUUGGUAAGGUAACUGCUUAUCAAGGCUACGAUGCAUAGCCGACCUGAGAGGGUGGUCGGCCACACGGGAAGUGAGACACGGUCCAGACUCCUACGGUAGGCAGCAGUAGGAAAUCUUACGCAAUGGUGGAGAGCCUGACGGAGCGACGCCGCGGGAGUGAUGACGGUGUCCGGAUCGGAAAACUCUGUUAUUAGGGGAAAACAUAUGUGUAAGUAACUGUGCACAUAUUGACGGUACCUAGUCAAAAAGCCACGGCUAACUACGUG